AGAGUAGAACGGAUGAUCGCUGUUUAUAACCAAACAGAGGAAAGUCCGGACUCCAAUCGGACACGAUGACGGAUAACAUCCGCCGACCAAAAAAGGUUAGGGAAAGUGCAACAGAAAAUAUACCGCCGAAAAUUUACUUCGGUAAGGGUGAAAUGGCGAGGUAAAAGCUCACCACGAUUUUAGGUAACUAAAUCGGUAAGGCAAACCCCAUCGGGAGCAAGAUCAAACAGGAUUGUAAGGGCGUCCGAAACCAAAAUCCGGGUAGAUCGCUAGAGCUUUCAGGUAACUGAAUCCCCAGAUUAAUGAUCAUCAUUUUGAUCGGUUCACACCGAUCAAAAAACAGAAUCCGGCUUACAGUUCUACUCCCCCC
rnacentral:RNase_P_RNA from 1 species